rnacentral:rRNA from 1 species
UGCAGUCGAGCGGAAGGCUUCCUUCGGGAAGUACUCGAGCGGCGAACGGGUGAGUAACACGUGGAUAAUCAACCUCUUGCUCUGGAAUACCCCGGGGAAACUCGGAUCAAUGCCAGAUAAAGUGCGGUGCUGUCGGGCGCCGUACCAAAGAUAGCUUCGGCCUUCGGCGAGAGACGAGUCCGCGGCCCAUUAGCUAGUUGGCGGGGUAAUGGCCCACCAAGGCUACGAUGGGUAGCUGGUCUGAGAGGAUGAUCAGCCACACUGGGACUGAGACACGGCCCAGACUCCUACGGGAGGCAGCAGUGGGGAAUCUUGCGCAAUGGGCGAAAGCCUGACGCAGCAACGCCGCGUGCGGGAGGAAGGCCUUCGGGUUGUAAACCGCUUUCAGGGGAGACGAAGCUUCCAGGGUUAAUAGCCCUGUGGAGUGACGGUAUCUUCAGAAGAAGUCCCGGCUAACUACGUGCCAGCAGCCGCGGUGAUACGUAGGGGACAAGCGUUGUCCGGAAUUAUUGGGCGUAAAGCGCGUGUAGGCGGCCAAGUAAGUCUUACGUGAAAUCCUGAGGCUCAACCUCAGGCCUGCGCGGGAUACUGCUUGGCUAGAGUCCGGAAGAGGAGAGUGGAAUUCCUGGUGUAGCGGUGGAAUGCGCAGAUAUCNNAGGAACAUCCGUGGCGAAAGGCGGCUCUCUGGGACGGUACUGACGCUGAGACGCGAAAGCGUGGGGAGCGAACAGGAUUAGAUACCCUGGUAGUCCACGCCGUAAACGAUGGGCGCUAGNUGUGGGAGGUGUCGAUUCCUUCCGUGCCGAAGCUAACGCAUUAAGCNGCCCCGCCUGGGGGAGUACGGUCGCAGACUAAACUCAAAGGAUNACGG